UUAUUUUCAGUCUUGAGUCUUCUAUAACAUCUACUGUUAGCCUGCUUCUUCGUUUUCCUUUUUAGAUUCAGUCAUUCUGGAACUAAGUUAUUGAUAAAAGGUAGGGUAACUCUUAGGAAGAAGGAUGAAGAUAAAAGCCAGAAACAAAAGUUUGGGAGAUUGGUGAGAUAAAAUAUGUUCAGCAAUUACUAUUCCCAGUGUCCUGCUAUAAUGUCCUUAGUGAUAGCAAGGUCCACGUUCUCUGAAAUACUAGAAACUGUCUGAGAAUUUGGCCUGGGAGGAAUGUAACUUUUAGGAGCAAAAAUACUUGAAGGUAAAGAUUGAGAAGUGAAGUUGGACGGGCAGUGCAAAGGUAGAGCCUCUCCAGAGGACUGGUCCGGUAGGGGAGAGCCCACACCUUUUGCCUCCACUCCCCUCGAGUUCGGAGGCCAUCCCGUGCAUCCUCAUGCAUGCAUUGCAGGAGGAUUUUAAUCUGAAGAAUCACACUUUCUUGGGAACAAACCUGGGCAGCUGGACACGAUUUCUGAGCUGGCCAAGACUCGCUGAGAUCAACUGAGACACCUUCUGUACAUUUGUGGCUUUCUUUUUUUAUUUUUUUUGUGGUACGUUGCCAACAUGGCCUGGAUCGUUGAUAGUUCUCUGUAAGAUACUGUAGCACUUCCCCUGGUGACAAGAACCUGGCUUAAAAAUGCAGCCAUUUUUCAGAUUUAAUUUAUUUUUACCGCAAGGAACAGAGCAUAUCUCAUAGCACAGAAUAGGCAGGAGUAAAUCCUCGUUUGUCUGCUGAAUUAUCUUGGUUAUGAGCCAGGGCUGAGACCCUCCUGGUAGUGCUGCUGCCGUGCGGCUGGCUCACCGCUGGAGGACAUCGUUUCAGUGCCGGGUAGCUCCGGGUGAGAGAUCCUUGUCCCUAGGAUAGGAGAAGGGGCAGGGGUGGCUUGGUUUCUGUGCUGAGUGGCUGUGAGUCCUUCCAUCUGUGUUGCGCCUUGCCAUGAGCCUGUUGGUGACUCGCAGGGUUUUUGCCAGCUUCAGCAAUGGGUCUGAUGGGAGCUCCUAUCUGAGAGCCCCCCUGAACUGCCCAGCGCUGCUGGCCUCUGCUUUUUUUCCACUAAAAGGUAUCAAGACAGAAUUGCCUUAGCUCUGCAUGGGCUUUCAGCAUUUUUUGGCCUUACCUGAAAUCCUUUGCUAAGUCCCACCCCACCGCAGCCAUUUAUCAAGUUAUUCUGUUUAGCUCCAUCCUUCCUUUCCUUGAGACUUUUGGUCACCUGAAGAGGCUUCUCCUUCUCUCUCCCUACAAAUACUUGAGAUAAUUGAAAGACAAUUUGCUCUGAUUGUUUCACAGCUGCUCUAGGCCAAAGAGCAAAUCUCUGUCCUGAUCUCCUGCUGGCUGGUGUUAAGUACUUGCAUCAUCUUGGGUACUUCAGCUGUUAGUCCAUAUGGAUGUGCUCUGACUUGAAAUGCUGAGGGGUGCUAAAGAAAGGAGAGGCAGGAUCCCCGCAGGGAGCCCGCACGAAGCCAUAUGCCGGUAUUUCUGGGUAUCUGGUGCCCCCUGGAGACUGCUGCUGCCCGAAGAAAUGCAACCAGUAUCGGGACCACACGUAAAUAGAUGACCCUAGCCUGAACAGGCUGACGAACAGUAGGAACUGUGUUCUCCCAGCAGAAGUGGAGAAUACUAGAAAAGCCAGUC